UACGUAGGGUGCAAGCGUUGUCCGGAAUUAUUGGGCGUAAAGAGCUCGUAGGCGGUCUGUCGCGUCGGCUGUGAAAACUCGGGGCUCAACUCCGAGCUUGCAGUCGAUACGGGCAGGCUAGAGUUCGGCAGGGGAGACUGGAAUUCCUGGUGUAGCGGUGAAGUGCGUAGAUAUCAGGAGGAACACCGGUGGUGUAGACGGCUCACUGGACCGUAACUGACGCUGAGACACGAAAGCGUGGGUAGCGAACAGG
rnacentral:rRNA from 1 species